rnacentral:rRNA from 1 species
AUACGGAGGGUGCAAGCGUUGUUCGGAAUCACUGGGCGUAAAGGGCGCGCAGGCGGUUUGGUAAGUCAGAUGUGAAAGCCACGGCUCAACCGUGGAAGUGCAUUUGAAACUGUCAGACUUGAGUACUAGAGGGGAAAGUGGAAUUCCCGGUGUAGAGGUGAAAUUCGUAGAUAUCGGGAGGAAUACCGGUGGCGAAGGCGACUUUCUGGCUAGAUACUGACGCUGAGGCGCGAAAGCGUGGGGAGCAAACAGAAUUAGAAACCCUAGUAGUCC